rnacentral:rRNA from 1 species
AUACAGAGGGUGCGAGCGUUAAUCGGAAUUACUGGGCGUAAAGCGCGCGUAGGCGGCUUAUUAAGUCAGAUGUGAAAUCCCCGGGCUCAACCUGGGAACUGCAUCUGAUACUGGUAAGCUAGAGUUUUGGAGAGGGAAGUAGAAUUUCAGGUGUAGCGGUGAAAUGCAUAGAGAUCUGAAGGAAUACCAGUGGCGAAGGCGACUUCCUGGCCAAAAACUGACGCUGAGGUGCGAAAGCGUAGGUAGCAAACGGGAUUAGAUACCCUAGUAGUCC